UACAGAGGGUGCGAGCGUUGUUCGGAAUUACUGGGCGUAAAGCGCGUGUAGGCGGCCCGGUAAGUCCGCUGUGAAAGUCGGGGGCUCAACCCUCGGAUGCCGGUGGAUACUGUCGGGCUCGAGUACGGAAGAGGCGAGUGGAAUUCCUGGUGUAGCGGUGAAAUGCGCAGAUAUCAGGAGGAACACCGAUUGCGAAGGCAGCUCGCUGGGACGUGACUGAUGCUGAGACGCGAAAGCGUGGGGAGCAAACAGG
rnacentral:rRNA from 1 species